GCAAAAUCCCAGCCAACAACAAAGUUUUCCAUUAUCAGAUUGUUCUAGCCAACAAGCUGAUCAAAACCAAGAGGUAGUGGAUAAUGUGCAAGCACAGUCGGUAACAGCCCCAGCUACCAGCAUAGCCUGUAAUUAAGAGGUAGCAGGUUGUUUCCUUCUUCAUGAGACAGAAUUUAAGAGGUACAGGUGUGGGAAACAAUUUUUAGCCAAAGGAGAGCUGGAGGAAAAGUGAUCUUAAAGCAUAUUCCAGAUUUAGAAGGAGGAUCGCGGUACCCUUUUCUCUGUGAUGGAUUCUUCCAACAACGCAUGAUUUGCUUAGAAUUUUCCCUAGGAUCGGUUCUAAUUGUUCAUAUAAAGAAGAAAAUGUGUCAUAUACCAUUUAUAGAUAACUUAGUUGUUACAGAUCAGGAGUUCAGAAACAAGAGAAAUUUCUUGUGUGGCUUUAGCAUGAUUGCCUUCAGAAAUUGGUUCUGCUUAGGAGUUUAGAUAGCAAAUUCAAUCUCACUUUUCAUUUAUCCGAGUCCCAAAUCCUUCCAAGUACCUCAUUCUUGGCAAAGCCAUAUAUAAGUUGAGACUUUGAGUACCUGUUUCAUUUCAAUAAUACAGCUAGUUUGUUCU